AGUGAACGCUGGCGGUAGGCCUAACACAUGCAAGUCGAACGGCAGCACAGUAAGAGCUUGCUCUUACGGGUGGCGAGUGGCGGACGGGUGAGGAAUACAUCGGAAUCUACUUUUUCGUGGGGGAUAACGUAGGGAAACUUACGCUAAUACCGCAUACGACCUACGGGUGAAAGCAGGGGAUCUUCGGACCUUGCGCGAUUGAAUGAGCCGAUGUCGGAUUAGCUAGUUGGCGGGGUAAAGGCCCACCAAGGCGACGAUCCGUAGCUGGUCUGAGAGGAUGAUCAGCCACACUGGAACUGAGACACGGUCCAGACUCCUACGGGAGGCAGCAGUGGGGGAUAUUGGACAAUGGGCGCAAGCCUGAUCCAGCCAUACCGCGUGGGUGAAGAAGGCCUUCGGGUUGUAAAGCCCCUUUGUUGGGAAAGAAAAGCAGCAGGUUAAUACCCCGCUGUUCUGACGGUACCCAAAGAAUAAGCACCGGCUAACUUCGUG
rnacentral:rRNA from 1 species